rnacentral:snoRNA from 1 species
ACUCUCCAGGUUCCUUACCCAUCCCACCUAAAUACUUGUCUGAGUGCUUAUAAAGGGAGAAAAAGUUAAGGUGAAACUGACCUAAAUUCUUUUGUGACACACAAGCUAGAUUCAAACAAAC